AACGAACGCUGGCGGCAGGCCUAACACAUGCAAGUCGAGCGGUCCCUUUGGGGGCAGCGGCGGACGGGUGAGUAACGCGUGGGAACCUGGCCUUGGGUGCGGGAUAACGUCGGGAAACUGGCGCUAAUACCGCAUAAUGUCUACUGACCAAAGAUUUAUCGCCCAAGGAUGGGCCCGCGUUGGAUUAGCUAGAUGGUGGGGUAACGGCCUACCAUGGCGACGAUCCAUAGCUGGUUUGAGAGGAUGAUCAGCCACACUGGGACUGAGACACGGCCCAGACUCCUACGGGAGGCAGCAGUGGGGAAUCUUGGACAAUGGGCGCAAGCCUGAUCCAGCCAUACCGCGUGGGUGAAGAAGGCCUCGGUG
rnacentral:rRNA from 1 species